UUCAUAUGAGCACUUUUACGUGAUAUACUGCAAGUUUUGGGAGCUGGAUACAGAUCAUGAUUUCUUGAUUGACAAGGAGAACCUUAUCAGAUAUUGUAACCAUGCGCUUACCUACCGGAUUGUUGAUAGGAUAUUUUCUUAGGUUCCAAGAAAGUUUACCAGUAAGGUCGAAGGGAAGAUGGGGUAUUAAUAUUUUGUUUACUUCAUCCUUGCAGAGGAGGACAAGUCAUCCGAGCCUAGUCUUGAGUACUGGUUCAAGUGUAUAGAUUUGGA